GAAUCAAGUGAACGGCAUCCAUAGAACUUAGUGUCAGUUAUUGUUGUGAGGUAAAGCGGUGCAGAGGUUUUAAAUCUAUCUGUAUUUGUUCAUGUUGUGAAGAAAUGAAUAGAAAUUGUAGGCAAAUUACAUUUAUAAAUCUAUCAAUGCACAGCCACACAGGCUGAAGUGAACUGAGGGCUUCAAAGAAAGCAUGUUGGGUUCAUGGCGGCUUCUCUUUUCAAUUAUCUUUGUUUUUUACUCUUACUUUACUUUGCACUUUGGGUUUGAGUCAAAGUCCACGCGGUUCGGGGAGAAGUCCACCGAUUGAUAUGAUAUAUAGAUAAAGCCUUAUUUGGUGCCGGGGAAUCCUGUAGAAUUGGAUUAUUGGCCUCAUGUUGUGUGUUUGCUGGGGUCGUAGACGACAUGAUAUAGAAAGAAGUCACUUCAUCAGAAGCUUCAGGAUACUUAGCAUUACUAGGGAUUCAUGCCGUAACUCGAUAUCUCCAAGGUAUCAACCCAGUGACAAGUAGUAUCUAACCUCUCCAAUCGGGCUAUACCUGCUAUUGGUUCUUUUUGUGCAUGGAUAUAGACCUCUACAUUUAUUUGUAUGGACUUGCUCACGAUCAAACACCGCAAGCAUUGUUGGAUUUAAUGUAACGCGGCGCGAUGCUGUAGUAGCUUCAACUCUGAGGGCCUGAACCUCGAGCAGGGCCCUGGUGGGGGCCAUUGGGACCACCGCUUCCAUCCACAGAAAGGGUUUCCAAUCCAGCACUCUAUGGCAGAGCUCAAACAUAAAAGAUGGCGGACCAAACUCGUAGAAUAGGGGGUCCCUGCUCCAUCUCGCCAUCAGUUUGUGGGUCUGAAAAAACGUUGAAGACCCCUGUUCUAUGGUAUCGGCAUCACUUUCAAGGCACAGGUUUUGUCUUAAACAACACCCAGUCCCAGGAAUAAUGUAUCUGAAUUAGUGCAGAUAAUGUGUUUUAUUUAAAUGUCUGAUUGGAAAAAACACUGAUUUCAGGAUGACUUUUCCCCAGUAGAACUACGACAGCAGGAAAAGAAUCUGAACUAAUUCACCAGCAGACAUGCUCACGGCUUUCUCUGCCAGCAUUCGGGUUGUGAAAAACGUUCAAAGGUUGAUGCAAUAAAUGUACAGUUUGUUCCUGAAACAAUGGAAUCACAGACUCAAGAGAGAGUGUGAUUAAAAGUUAAGAAGGCCACUUCUUCUCUGUAGCCUACUCUGUGUAAAUUCAGCCUUAUUUGAUUUGGGGAUGGGGAAGUUUAUCAGCAGCCUUUGUUUACUCAUCACCAUCUCAUGAACUAACACAUACUGAUACAGUAUACGUACCAUGUGUACUGGUAUCUACUCAACAUAAAGCUACCUCAGUUUGUUUCAUGGACCGAAUACCCUCCACGUUUCAUCAGCAAAACAUGUCUGUAACGCAGGCAAUAUACGGCUCCCUGUUGUAAAAACAAGUCAAUAAGACUGAAAAUUAAAGUUCCCAAAAUGGAACAAAUCCUAGCGAGAGAAAAUACUUCUGGGGAUCCUUUUUCCAAGUCUAUACUGAUUUGUUUUACUUAAGAACUUAAGGGGAAUUUUUUUUUUUGGCAGGUAAAUGUUCAAAAGAGCAUUCAUGAUGAUUGGACAAAUUAUGUAAACUAAAGGAAAACCUUUUUUCACUGGUUCUUAAGUCACGCAGGCAGGAAAAGUAUCAGAUCAGAAAAUGGAUCGACUCACCAAAGAUCAACACAAAUAUAAUGCAGACAAGCCAAUCGGGGAUUGCAAAGAAUUAGAUUGAAAAAAGUACUCAAUUUCCAUCUAAUUAAAGUAGUUUUCCGCGUUUAUUUUUAUUUAAUAUUGUUCAAUCUGCCAAUAGGAAUUCUCUUUCUCUUUCUGGAAUUUGAUUGGAUUUAAAUCAAGAAUACUGAUUAUGGCUCAUUAAAUCUCAGUUUGUCAGGAAUCUGGCCAUCAAAUUAAUAUUCAUAUUAAAGCAAAGUACUGACAUUUGUUUAAUCUCACUGUUAAAACAACACAAAAGAGGCUGUGUCACAUAAAGGGGGAUCUGAGCCUUCUGAUUGGUGGGUGUCCUGCUCCCCGGAGGACGUGACCCAUCAACAGAUGCCCCCCCUCACUGCUCAUAACUCGUAUAAGCUGCUUUCUAUGUUUUGUUUGCCUUA
ensembl:lncRNA